AUUGUGGAGAAUUCAAAAUUAAAUCAAAGUGAAUUUCAAAUGUAUGGCCAACAUAACCAAACUGAACAAUAUCCAAACUAAUUGCCUUGGAGAAUUUUUCAAGCUGGCAAGGCCUCCCCCUGCUUCAAAUAGCAAUAAGUGUCUUGGGAUAUCUGUUUACACAUUUCUGCAGGGUCUUUGCUACUUAGGCACGGUAUGGAUUUGUGUAUGAGCUGGUCACCUGUGCUCUCAAUAAUGUUCAUAUGCCAAAUGUCGCUUCCUCGAGGAAGUUUAUUUAUGCACAACAGACGAAAUGCAUAGGACUUGUUUUAUACAAAAUUUGACUACUUUGGGAUAGAAUCUCUGUGGGCAUAUAUGGAGAGAGAAUUCUGAGUACUUUGUGAGAGAUUUGUUCUGGGCUUAUACCUCAUUAUUUCAAGCCCCCUGUGGUAUCAUGGAGAUGCACCUGUUAAGCACAACAUUGCCCAAAUCAUGUGAGUGUAUCUGUUAUCACUGCAGCUUCAAUAGUUCAAACAGUAUCACGCUAUGGUUAUAAUGUAUACCUCUUUUUAUAAAAGCUGAAACCCAAUUUCAGUUGUAUAUCAUUGAUUUAAAGGAGGCUUGAGAGGAGACGCCCAGGAGUUAGAGGCCGCAAGGUUAGGGUCAAAGCUAUAUGAGCUAAGUAUUUGUAUUAUUGUAAACAUUGAAUGCCUUUUUGCACAGAUAUAUGUGAACGUACCUUCAUACUGUGCAGGUCUUACUAAUGGAGAUUGUAGUAAUAUAUGAAGGCAAACUUUAAACUCCUGAAGCCUCUAUCUGUCAUAUCUAUAUAUGUUGAAAAUCCACACAGAGAUCUGUGAGUAUUGUGCAGAAUAAAAGCAAUUAGUUUGUUCUUGAUCCCCAUGCUAAAAGUUGCCAGUCUUCCCUUGUAGGCUUAAAAAAUGCUCUUUGAAUUCCUUGCAAUACUCGCUUAAGUGAAUAACCCGGCUACACAUGCAACGUCUCAUGUAUCCUUACAUGCACUAUUUCGUCUGAGCUUCCAGUGCACAAUAUAGAUGUGAAGAUCCCCAUUUAAGAGAGUUGCUUCAUUUUAUUCCUAUGGGGUCUUUGUAUACAACUUGUCUUACAAAAUGGGAGGAAAGGAAAGUACCCAACCUUUAACAAAACAAAUCAAUACUUCUGGCAGUGCAAUGGAACAUGAAAAAUUCUAAACUCCAAAUUGUACAUUCCACUGAAUGUACAGCAUAUACAUUAUUUAGGGCUAAUAAACAAAUACAUGCAAUUAAUUUAAAAAAAAAUGGUAUAUAAUGUAAGUGUGUAAAUAUUUUCAAAUUUCUGUGUAAUACGAUGUUCUUUAAUAAAU